rnacentral:rRNA from 1 species
AGAUUGAACGCUGGCGGCGUGCUUAACACAUGCAAGUCGAGCGGAAAGGCCCUUCGGGGUACUCGAGCGGCGAACGGGUGAGUAACACGUGAGUAAUCUGCCCCUAGCUCUGGGAUAGCUCCGGGAAACCGGGAUUAAUACCAGAUACGACCACUUUAGACAUCUGUUGUGGUGGAAAGAAUUUUGGCUAGGGAUGAGCUCGCGGCCUAUCAGCUUGUUGGUGAGGUAACGGCUCACCAAGGCGACGACGGGUAGCCGGCCUGAGAGGGCGACCGGCCACACUGGGACUGAGACACGGCCCAGACUCCUACGGGAGGCAGCAGUGGGGAAUAUUGCGCAAUGGGCGAAAGCCUGACGCAGCGACGCCGCGUGGGGGAUGAAGGCCUUCGGGUUGUAACCCCUUUCAGCAGGGACGAAGCGAAAGUGACGGUACCUGCAGAAGAAGCGCCGGCUAACUACGCGCCAGCAGCCGCGGUAA